rnacentral:lncRNA from 1 species
GUGCCUGACAGGGCUGGCCGGGAAGAACUGCUGACCUGUCUAAAGAAAUAUAUCUGCGUCUCCCGGAAUGGCAGGACAGAUGGUGCCCGUUCGCACCGAGGCGACUUCUCUCGAUGGCACACACCGAGCGGAGCUGAUGAGCGACUGCGAAGAAGUUUAGAUCACGAGCUCAUCUGGGACUACAAGUGACCAACCUGGAUCAACUUUUAAUUAACACGCUGACCUGCCGAAGAAGCAAAACUCCCUUAAAAAAAAAAAAAAAAAAAAAAAAAAUAAAGGUGUGUAUAUAAAUACAUCGUCGUGACCCUGGAAACCCCAGGGCUCUCCUUGCCCUUUUUGUAGGGAGGAGGUGAUUUUCCAAAGGCGCGAGGAGAUGCGCAGGUUCGGCCCCCGCCCGCCUCCCCUCCCCGCUCAGGCUGCGGGGCAGCGGCGGCCCCGGGAAGGGGGGAUGCGGUCGGAGCGGGCGGGGCACUAUGACCGGAGCCCCUGAGCAGCGUGUGCGAGGAAAAGGCCGUGGCAGACAGGCGGAGGAUUUGGCUCUAUGGGAGGUGUGGUACAAGCACCAGUGGGGGGGUGGACACAAGCUCACGCGUGGGUGCUCCAAGCUCCAGAGCCUGUUCGGUAGCUCCCCCGCACGAAGCACAAAGAGAGGUUUUUUUUUCCCAUGCACGUACACACUUCAGGCAGAUUGGCUGCUGGAGACCGCCCCCACCCCCCAAAACUGGCACUGGAGUACGUUACUGCCGAGUUACACUUUAACUUCUCUGCAGGUAAUAAUUAAAGACCUUCUUUCUAAGUCUCUUUCCCCCACAGAAACACCGAGGCUCUCUUUCGCAAUAGAUUAUAUUGAUCACACAUACGGGCACACUCUCGGAGCCGCCUUCUGUGAGCUGCUCUCAAUUCCAUGCGCUCUGCACAACUUUUCCCAUAUCUUCUCCCACUUUUUUUCCCGAGCUGAAAGGUUUCUUCAGGGAUGCAUUUCUAUGAACAAUUCCAAAUCCCCCCAAGAAGAAGCUCCAUGUGCAAAAGCCAGUCAUCCAGAUGCACACCUGCAGGCUUUGCCCAUAAGUCUGAAUUUUGUCCCACACUUGCUUUGUGUGUGAGUUUAAAAAUAAGAGAUACAGAAGGAACAAAGUC